rnacentral:rRNA from 1 species
UACGGAGGUGCGAGCGUGUCCGGAAUCAUUGGGCGUAAGGGCGCGUAGGUGGCGGGACAAGCGUGCGGUGAAAGCCUGGGGCUCAAACCCCGGGUCGGCCGUGCGAACUGUUUUGCUUGAGCACUGUAGAGGCAGGGCGGAAUUCCGGGGUGUAGCGGUGGAAUGCGUAGAGAUCCGGAAGAACACCGGUGCGAAGGCGGCCGCUGGGCAGUAGCUGACACUGAGGCGCGACAGCGUGGGGAGCAAACGG